UACGUAGGGUGCGAGCGUUGUCCGGAAUUACUGGGCGUAAAGGGAGCGUAGGCGGGCUCUUAAGUUGGAUGUUUAAAACCGGGGCCUAACCCCGGCGUGGCAUCCAAAACUGGGAGUCUUGAAUGGGACAGAGGCCAGUGGAAUUAGAGGUGUAGCGGUGGAAUGCGUAGAUAUCUCUAAGAACACCAGUUGCGAAGGCGGCUGGCUGGGUCCACAUUGACGCUGAGGCUCGAAAGCGUGGGGAGCAAACAGG
rnacentral:rRNA from 1 species